ACGCAAGUUGCGCCCGAAGCCAUCCGGUUGAGGGCACGUCUGCCUGGGCGUCACGCAUCACGUUGCCCCCCAAACAUCUAUUUAGAUGUUCUGGUUGGGGCGGAGAUUGGUCUCCCGUGCCCUUGCAUGGUUGACCUAAAUAUGAGUCUCCUCACGAGAGACGCACGGCUAGUGGUGGUUGAUAACACAGUCGUCUCGUGCCGUACGUUUAUGUUUGUGAGUGUCUAGACUUGUGAAAAACCUGACGCGUCGUCUUCAGAUGAUGCUUCGAU
rnacentral:misc_RNA from 1 species